rnacentral:lncRNA from 1 species
CCUCUUCAAUACUAUCUGUUAGUCGGUUUAAUCCAAAAUUACUGGUAGAUGGAACGCUCAUCUCGAUUUGUUUCUGAUCUGCAUCACUUUACUUCGAUACUCAACCGAUAUGAUUAUUAACACUAAAGGUAUGAUACCCAGUUCAGAUAGUCACUGAUAUCAACUAUUCCAUAUCGAUCUAUUAUCGAUGUGCCACCAG